UUUGGUGUGUAUCUGCAUGCAGAUCCCUGUUUCGGCAGCGAAUGCAUGUCAUGCAUACCUCUUCAAUUGUUGGCUCAAGUGCGGCUUUGGCUUGGUCUUAAUUGGUUUCUUGUGCUGCAUACCUCUAUGAAGGUAAUUGGUCGGCCUAAUUGAUCCCUAUUCUUACAUGCAUCGAACCCAUUGUGGUUUUGGUGUGAGUAUGACCACAAAGCAUGCAUAGUGCUCCUCUUCCUAGGCAUCGUGCUGGUGCUUUGGGCUGUUGGCACAUUAUGGGUGCUUGAUCUCUCGGAUACGGAAAAUUGUAUGGGUAUGAAGCAUGCCUUGGCUUGCUCCUAUUUGCCCCAAAAUUAAGCGUUCAACGCUUGUUGCGUACGACUGUUGUUCUCGUUUUGGUUGGGUCCUUUGUGGCUCGAGUCAUGCGUUAACAACGUCGUUGAGGAA
rnacentral:misc_RNA from 1 species